rnacentral:rRNA from 1 species
UACGGGGGGGGCAAGCGUUGUUCGGAAUUACUGGGCGUAAAGGGCUCGUAGGCGGCCCACUAAGUCCGACGUGAAAUCCCCAGGCUUAACUUGGGAACUGCGUCGGAUACUGGUGGGCUUGAAUCCGGGAGAGGGAUGCGGAAUUCCAGGUGUAGCGGUGAAAUGCGUAGAUAUCUGGAGGAACACCGGUGGCGAAGGCGGCAUCCUGGACCGGCAUUGACGCUGAGGAGCGAAAGCCAGGGGAGCAAACGGG